rnacentral:rRNA from 1 species
AACGAACGCUGGCGGCAUGCCUAACACAUGCAAGUCGAACGAACCCUUCGGGGUUAGUGGCGCACGGGUGCGUAACGCGUGGGAAUCUGCCCUUUGCUUCGGAAUAACUUAGGGAAACUUGUGCUAAUACCGGAUGAUGUCUUCGGACCAAAGAUUUAUCGGCAAGGGAUGAGCCCGCGUAGGAUUAGGUAGUUGGUGGGGUAAAGGCCUACCAAGCCGACGAUCCUUAGCUGGUCUGAGAGGAUGAUCAGCCACACUGGGACUGAGACACGGCCCAGACUCCUACGGGAGGCAGCAGUGGGGAAUAUUGGACAAUGGGCGCAAGCCUGAUCCAGCAAUGCCGCGUGAGUGAUGAAGGCCCUCGGGUCGUAAAGCUCUUUUACCAGGGAUGAUAAUGACAGUACCUGGAGAAUAAGCUCCGGCUAACUCCGUG